rnacentral:rRNA from 2 species
ACCCCACUGCUAUCGAGAUGGGACUAAGGUAUGCUAGUCGAACGACCAGAACUAUGUCUGGAAGUGGCACACUGCUCAGUAACACGUAGCUAACCUACCCUUAGGACGUGGAUACCCCCGAGAAAUUGGGGUUAAUCCGCGAUAGAUGUAAUGUCCUGGAAUGGUAUUACGUCUAAAGGUAUUUCAUACAUGUUUGAAAUAUGCCUAAGGAUGGGGCUGCGGCCGAUCAGGCUGUUGGUGAGGUAAUGGCUCACCAAACCUUUGACCGGUACGGGCCAUGAGAGUGGUAGCCCGGAGAUGGACACUGAGACAAGGGUCCAGGCCCUAAGGGGCGCAGCAACCGCGAAACCUCCACAAUGCACUCACGUGCGAUGGGGCUAUCUCGAGUGCCACCUGAUGAAGGUGGCUUUUCCUAGGUCUUCAAAGCCUUGGGAAUAAGAGGGGGGCAAGACUGGUGUCAGCCGCCGCGGUAACACCAGCCCCUCGAGUGGUGGGGAUGAUUAUUUGGCCUAAAGCGUCCGUAGCCGGCCGAGCAAGUCUUCCGUUAAAUCCAGCGUCUCAAGCGUUGGACCGCGGGAGAUACUACACGGCUAGAGAGUGGGAGAGGUCAGCGGUAUUCUGGGGGUAGGGGCGAAAUCCUUUGAUCCCCGGAGGACCACCAGUGGCGAAGGCUGCUGACUAGAACACGUCUGACGGUCAGGGACGAAAGCUGGGGUAGCGAACCGGAUUAGAUACCCGGGUAGUCCCAGCCGUAAACGAUGCAUGCUAGGUGUUGGGUUGGCCACGAGCCACCCCAGUGCCGCAGGGAAGCCGUUAAGCAUGCCGCCUGGGAAGUACGAUCGCAAGAUUGAAACUUAAAGGAAUUGGCGGGGGAGCACCACCAGGCGUGAAGCCUGCGGUUUAAUUGGAUUCAACGCCGGG